UACCUGGUUGAUCCUGCCAGUAGUCAUAUGCUUGUCUCAAAGAUUAAGCCAUGCAAGUCUAAGUACGAGCUCUCGUACAGUGAAACUGCGAAUGGCUCAUUAAAUCAGUUAUGGUUCAUUUGAUCGUACAGUUUACUUGGAUAACUGUGGUAAUUCUAGAGCUAAUACAUGCGAGAAGCGCCGACCUCGCGGGAGGCGUGCAUUUAUCAGACCAAAAACCGGCCGCGUCUUCGGGCGCGUUCGCCUUGGUGACUCUGGAUAACUUUGCGGAUCGCACGGUCUAGCACCGGCGACGGAUCAUUCAAGUGUCUGCCCUAUCAACUUUCGUCGGUACGGUAUUUGCCUACCGAGGUUCUUACGGGUGACGGGGAAUCAGGGUUCGAUUCCGGAGAGGGAGCCUGAGAAACGGCUACCACAUCCAAGGAAGGCAGCAGGCGCGCAAAUUACCCAUUCCCGACGCGGGGAGGUAGUGACGAAAAAUAACAAUGCAGGACUCGUUCGAGGCCCUGUAAUUGGAAUGAGUACACUUUAAAAGCUUUAACGAGUAUCCAUUGGAGGGCAAGUCUGGUGCCAGCAGCCGCGGUAAUUCCAGCUCCAAAAGUAUAUAUUUAAGUUGUUGCGGUUAAAGGCUCGUAGUUGGAUUUUUGGGCGCAGGCGGCCGGUCCGUCGCAAGGCGUUGUACUGGACGUCCUGGCC
rnacentral:ncRNA from 1 species